UGUUUAUUCAUGUUCUGAUGGAAGAGGGAUGCAAGUCGGGCGACGAUUUCAGUUCGGAUUCCUCUUUUGACGACGACAUUGACAACAUCUCCUUACUGCCUGACAUCGAGAGGAAGCCCAGCAGAUUAAGGAGAAGAAGAAUACACUUAUUUACGGACCGUAGUUUUGAUUUUAACGGGAGAAUGUGCUCCAAGACUGUCGUUUAUACCACAGUAACAGCUGUACUCUUGGUAUCUGUCGUCUUCAUCUCAAUUUUUGUGAAACCUUCUUCGUCGGAAGAAUUUGAGGAAAAUGUCCCUGAAAAACGUUCAAGUAAAGAACCAGGACCUGAUAUCCCACCAGAGGACAAUAAAAAAAUAUACAAGGACAAAACAGGGAAGGAAUUUCCGUGGCAAGAAAUUCGUCUCCCUAAUAAAGUGAUCCCUGAGAAAUACAGAGUCGAAAUUCAAACUGAUUUGACUACUUUCAAAUUCAAAGGACAUGUCGACAUGCUUUUAAAGUGUGAAGAAAAGACUGAUUAUAUAUUUUUUCAUGCCAAACACAUGCAUUUGAAGAAUUAUUCGUUAUACGAGCUUGGUCAUCAUGAGAUACCGAAAACUUUGGAACUCGGCGAGAUAACCGAAAGCACUGAACUUGAGAUGAUCUCAGUCAAGGUUUCCCAAGAACUAGAACCCGGCAAGCAAUACGUCCUAUAUGUAGAGUUUAACUCUUCACUGGCRGACCAACUGUUUGGCUUUUAUAAAAGCUCUUACAAGACCAAAAACGGAGAGACAAGGCACAUAGCAACAACACAUUUUGAGCCUACAGAUGCCAGGGCUGCUUUCCCUUGCAUGGAUGAACCAGCAUUAAAAGCAAAAUUUGAAAUUAUCAUCAUAAGAGAGAGACAAUACACAGCUUUGUCAAAUAUGCCUUUGAAGGAGACCAUAAAUGUAGUGGAUGAUGGGAGAGAGUUUGAGAAAGACAUUUUUGAAGAGAGUGUUUUGAUGAGCACCUAUCUAGUAGCAUUUGUGGUUUGUGACUUCAAGAGUAAAUCAGCCAGAACAACUUCAAAUACAUUGGUUCGUGUUUGGGCUCCUCCUGACAACAUURACGAGGCUGACUUUGCUUUAGAAGAGGCCAAGAACAUUCUUGCCUAUUAUGAAGAAUUUUUUAAAGUCAAAUUUCCAUUGCCAAAGCAAGAUUUGAUUGCGAUUCCUGAUUUUGCUGCCGGUGCUAUGGAAAAUUGGGGUUUGAUCACAUAUCGCUCCACUUCAUUGUUAUUUGACAAGAAUGAAUCAUCUGACAGUAAUAAGCAGUGGGUGGCGACAGUGGUUGCACAUGAACUUGCACAUCAGUGGUUUGGAAAUCUUGUCACCAUGAAAUGGUGGAAUGACCUGUGGUUGAAUGAAGGCUUUGCAAGCUUUGUGGAGAACAUUGGAGCWAGUCAUGACAAUCCACAGUGGAAGAUGAUGGAYCAAUUCCUCCUUGACAAAGCUCAGCUAGCUAUGAAUCUGGACCAGAUGAGCAACUCACAUCCUAUCAGUGUCCCUGUGCAUAACCCUAGUGAAAUCAAUGCCCUGUUUGACACYAUCUCAUAUGACAAGGGUGCUUCCAUUAUUAGAAUGUUGAGGAGUAUCAUUGGUAAAGAAGCCUUCCGACAUGGACUACAAAACUAUUUAGAAACAUACAAAUUUGGCAAUGCAGAGACAAAGGACUUGUGGGGUAAACUAUCUAAGGCUUGGCAAGUUUCUGACWCCAACGCCAGGGACAUUUCWACCAUUAUGGACACAUGGACCCUGCAAAUGGGUUAUCCUGUGGUCAAUAUCACCAGAGAUAACAACCAAUUAACUGCAGCACAACAACAUUUCCUGAUUCAUCCUCGUGAAAAGCCUGCUUUGGUAUCUCCUUAUGGCUAUAAAUGGGAAAUCCCUCUGACAUAUAGCACACAGGUAGACAAGCAAGAGCUCUAUGUUUGGAUGGGCAAAGAUGGAAAAGAUGUUGUAAUUAACUUGCCAGCGCAAAGUGGCUGGUUUAAAGCUAACUAUGGCCAGAAAGGAUUUUACCGUGUAAAUUAUGACAAGGAAAAUUGGGAAGCUUUAACACAGCAGCUGAAGGCAGAUCAUACGGCCUUGAGUGAUGCAGAUAGGUCAGGAUUGAUUGACGAUGCUUUUAGCUUGGCAAGAGCUGGUCAGCUAAAACUUCAAACAGCCCUUGAAUUGACACUGUACUUGACUAAAGAGAAGGAAUACGUGCCAUGGACAUCAGCAUUGAAUAAUUUAGGGUACAUUCACUCCAUGCUGUGCACUGAUGACGCACCAUUUAACACAAUGAAGAAAUAUUUACUACAACAGUURAGCCCUAUUGUUGAGGAAUUAGGAUGGCAAGAUGAGGGUACUCAUUUACAAAAGUAUCUGAGGGCAUCUGCAUUGAAGUCUGCUGUAGAGUAYGGUCAUGAAAACGCUAAGAACGAGGCUAUGAGAAUCUUUAAUGAAUGGAAAAAUUCYGGCAAAAGAAUCGCACCUAAUUUACGUGCCAUCAUUUACUCGAUUGGAGUGCAACAUGGCGGCAAGGAAAACUAUGAUUUUGUCUUUAAACAAUACAAAACUGCGACUGUUGCUUCUGAAAAGAGAAAGCUGAUGUAUGCUUUGUCCAGCUCUGAAGAUUUGACGGUGCUCCAAGACUUAUUAGACAAGAGCUUAGAUUCUGCAGUCGUUCGAUCCCAGGAUUCUGUGGCUGUAAUUAACGCGGUUGCUGGCAACUGUAAAGGUCGCUUCCUUGCCUGGAAUUUCACAAAGCAGCACUGGGGUCUUUUAUAUAAAAGGUAUGCAGCUGGAUCCUUCGACUUCAGCCGUCUGGUCCUCCGCACAACUUCACACUUCAACACUCAGAUAAUGUUAAAUGAGGUCAAAAGUUUCUUCRACACUCACCCACUGGGCUCAGGCAAACGUGCWUCAAAGCAAAGUCUCGAAAGCAUACAGGCGAACAUUGAUUGGAUGGAGCGGAAUAAGGACACUGCCGUGAAUUGGAUGGGGGCUAACACUUUAAUGACGCCAAUAGAAGACGUCGAGAAAACGCUACAACAACUUGAGCACAUCAAUCCCAACAUGGCAGAUCACGAGGACCGGGGGUAUGCCAGGAAUGACUAUUAUUACCAAGACCGYGAGGAGCCUCGGUACGGUAGUGAUGAUUACUACCGAGAGACUGGUGACAACUAUCGAUAUGAGUAUAGAUAAAAUGGUUUUUUAGGGCUUAAUAUUCACUAGUGAMAAAUUUGGAGACUCGAAAAACGGCAGCAGCCCUCCCUGCUGAUUAGCGCCUUCCUUUUCAAUUUUUUCCCGUCUCUACUUCUUUCACUAGUGACAAGCCUUCGUUCAAAAAGCUUGUGUGGCACUUCUUUGAGUCUACCCCCUCCCCCUUCCCCCCAUCCUAUCCCCCUUCCCCUACCCCCAUCCCGUCAAAAUCCAUUCUUAAUGAAUACAAUGGUGGUAAAUAUUAGUACUUCAAACAGCGUGCACUCUUAGGAUCGAUCCUAUGAAGCCCAUUUUGGUACACUUGUCAAACCCGAAAGCGUUUCCCGAGUGAAUUAGGGAAAAGAUAGAUAUAAAUGGAUAAGAUUCGCCCAUAUAUUGUGUAAUAACUUUUAAAAUGCACCUUCUUAGAAACCCUUGUCCUCACAACUGCUAUAAUCUUCGUCUCGGAAGCAAAGAAGUGUCACAUAAUCUUUUUUCAAUUUUAUUUUUUUGUUUGGCAUGGGAGGGGAGGGUGAGUUAGUCUAAGUAGUUAUUUAUUGUUUUUGUCAUGAUCAUUCCCAUACUGUAGUAAAGCUCCACUUGCAUCCAGAAAACUCUGCGAUCGUUUGCUUUGUAUUAGAAAUAUAGAAAUAAAACGAACGCACUGUUUUGAUAUUUUUAGUUGGACAAACCAUCAUGACAUUGACUGCAAGAAUGUAACCCAAUAAUUUCCCACAAUUCUUUGCACAUUGAUAAACGUUCCUUGAGGGAAGGAGGGUGGGAUAAAAAUUGUCGAAAAGUAUAUUGAAUUAUUUUCUUAUUUGAGAUAUCUCUCAGAGAGUUUUGUAAUGCUUGACGAAGCUGAGAACUCUUUCAAAUGGAGUUAUUGAUUUUUGUUCGGCUCAGGCUUUACAUUAAAUAUAUCAUAAAUUGUUUUCCACAUUCCCAAAGUUUUCAUUUUAAGAAAUUCCGAAUCUUAUUUUCAUGGCAUAUUGCAUCCUUCUAAACUCUAAUUAUUUAUUCCCAAGAAAUUGUUUAAACUCCAGUGUAAAAUAUUUCGAAAAAAUGKGACAAAUAUAAAUAUUUAUUCAAAGAAGUCGCGAAUGACUUGCCUUUAAUAAGUAAAAAGCUGGUCAGCGAAUGACCAAUCGUAGUUAGGGAUCUCGUCACAUAACAAGAACUUAAGUUCCAUGAUGCUUUGCGUGUUUGAUGAAAUGUAAAAUAGCAGAGCAUGAUGGAUUUUAAUUCAGGGUUACCACGRAUAUGCAUCAUAGAAAAUCAUUUGUACUGAGCAAAACCKGUACGSGUGACAARCUCACUAUGGGCUAUGUAUGCACCUUGGACUAGUGUUGAAUUCACGGGUUAACAGCAUGAUUUUUCUUUCGUAUCUUCAUUAUAAUAUUUUGCUAAGAUGAAUUUGAGUGAAAGCUCUCAAUUACKAGCAAUAAGGGAUAAUAUGUUAUGAUAUAUAGAUAAAAUUGUAUUUUAUAGUGGUGAACAGCACACUUUCGAUAUCCUACUUGACUAACCACGCACGAGAAGAUUGGAGACGAGUUGAGGGGAAGCAAUGGAUAAUUAUUUUGUCUUCUACAUCGUCUGUGUAUGAGCAUUCAUCUAGAAUAUCGAAAGUUGGCUAUUCAUUUUAAACCUCUUGAAAUAACUACUUUUAAAGUGCAAAUGAACUCGAUUUUUUUCAAAUUCUAGGAUGAUCUAUCCUAUUUUAAAAAGUAGCUUGCCGCMAAAAARGUUUUGAAUUGGAUGAAAUCCCGAAUUUUGACGUUAUUUGAAAUUUCCCGCYAKUUCGGGAAAAUGCUCUCUYUUUGAAAUCAGGGGCCUGGUGCGAGUGUGACGUAUACUAAKGAAUAAUAUCUCACAUUUCUGGUGCCUUKCAAAGUGAAUGGUGGGGAUUCGAAGGUAUUCAUUCCAGAUAUAAGUGCCUUUGAGCUGUAAGACAGCAUCCAACMAUUCUUAGUUGAUAUAUCAAGCGAUAUAAGAACUUUGGUUUAGUAGACGUCACUCUAGGCUCGACUGAGGCCCCCAUGAUAGUUCACGGCCAUUUAGGAAUUAUCAAAAAUUUCAUAAAUUUAAAGUUUCACAAAAAGCGAGUUUUAACAGAUUUCCWAGAUGUCCCCAAAAAGCAUUUUAUUCUUCCAUGGAGGUUUUCCUCAACUUUGGAAAAUGAGUUUAUUUGCACUUUAAAAUAAGGGACUGAUUACAUGAACACGCAAUUCCGAUUGGACGAGCUGGUUUCUUUUGUUUUAUUCAGUAUCCCAAAGGGACACACAGCAAGAGAAACAAACUCUUUCAAUCGCUACUGCCUGCUUUAUGUGUUCAAGACUAUAGGUGAAAUUAUUUUCAUGGAAUUCUCUAAAACUUUCACUUCAAUAUAAAUGUGGUAAUUAAACUUWAAAUGAAUGCAAAGGUAUACGAAAUGGUCUAAAUGGUCUAAUAAAGCGAUACCUUUAAUAUUAUUUUAUUGCUAGGAUGUCUCACAUCCAAAUGUGUUAAAUGGGAAAAUAUAGUAGAAAUAAGAAGAACUUGUAACUUAAAAAAGAUCUGGGAAAUACAACUAUUUAUUCCAAAAUGG